GACGAACGCUGGCGGCGUGCCUAAUACAUGCAAGUCGAGCGGACUUUCAAGAAGCUUGCUUUUUGAAAGUUAGCGGCGGACGGGUGAGUAACACGUGGGCAACCUGCCUGCAAGACGGGGAUAACUCCGGGAAACCGGGGCUAAUACCGGAUAAUAUCUUCCUUCGCAUGAAGGAAGGUUGAAAGGCGGCGCAAGCUGCCGCUUGCAGAUGGGCCCGCGGCGCAUUAGCUAGUUGGUGAGGUAACGGCUCACCAAGGCGACGAUGCGUAGCCGACCUGAGAGGGUGAUCGGCCACACUGGGACUGAGACACGGCCCAGACUCCUACGGGAGGCAGCAGUAGGGAAUCUUCCGCAAUGGACGAAAGGCUGACGGAGCAACGCCGCGUGAGCGAAGAAGGUCUUCGGAUCGUAAAGCUCUGUUGUCAGGGAAGAACAAGUACCGUUCGAACAGGGCGGUACCUUGACGGUACCUGACCAGAAAGCCACGGCUAACUACGUG
rnacentral:rRNA from 1 species